CAAGACCGAGACAAAAUGAAUUUUUCUUUUAUCUGCAUCGACUACUUUUGUUCAGGUAUUUGACUGAACGUGAUACAGAGGGACUCCCAGAAACAUCUCCAUUCAACAAAACAAACCGUCUCACUCAGUUCAAAUCAGAUUAUUCCUUAACUCCUGAAACCGAUCCAUCAAAUCUAAUGUCAACAUUUUCAAG